CCUACGGGAGGCAGCAGUGGGGAAUAUUGCACAAUGGGGGAUACCCUGAUGCAGCGACGCCGCGUGAGUGAAGAAGUAAUUCGUUAUGUAAAGCUCUAUCAGCAGGGAAGAAAAUGACGGUACCUGAGUAAGAAGCCCCGGCUAACUACGUGCCAGCAGCCGCGGUAAGACGUAGGGGGCAAGCGUUAUCCGGAUUUACUGGGUGUAAAGGGAGCGUAGACGGCAGUGCAAGUCUGGAGUGAAAGGCGGGGGCUCAACCCCCGGACUGCUCUGGAAACUGUACGGCUGGAGUGCAGGAGAGGUAAGUGGAAUUCCUAGUGUAGCGGUGAAAUGCGUAGAUAUUAGGAGGAACACCAGUGGCGAAGGCGGCUUACUGGACUGUAACUGACGUUGAGGCUCGAAAGCGUGGGGAGCAAACAGGAUUAGAUACCCUGGUAGUC
rnacentral:rRNA from 1 species